rnacentral:rRNA from 1 species
GAUGAACGCUGGCGGCGUGCCUAAUACAUGCAAGUCGAGCGAACGGACGCGAAGCUUGCUUCUCUGAUGUUAGCGGCGGACGGGUGAGUAACACGUGGAUAACCUACCUAUAAGACUGGGAUAACUUCGGGAAACCGUAGCUAAUACCGGAUAAUAUUUUGAACCGCAUGGUUCAAAAGUGAAAGACGGUCUUGCUGUCACUUAUAGAUGGAUCCGCGCUGCAUUAGCUAGUUGGUAAGGUAACGGCUUACCAAGGCAACGAUGCAUAGCCGACCUGAGAGGGGGAUCGGCGACACUGGAACGGAGACACGGUCCAAACUCCUACGGGAGGCAGCAGUAGGGAAUCUUCCGCAAUGGGCGAAAGCCUGACGGAGCAACGCCGCGUGAGUGAUGAAGGUCUUCGGAUCGUAAAACUCUGUUAUUAGGGAAGAACAUAUGUGUAAGUAACUGUGCACAUCUUGACGGUACCUAAUCAGAAAGCCACGGCUAACUACGUG